rnacentral:rRNA from 1 species
AUUGAACGCUGGCGGCAGGCCUAACACAUGCAAGUCGAACGGUAACAGGAAGCAGCUUGCUGCUUCGCUGACGAGUGGCGGACGGGUGAGUAAUGUCUGGGAAGCUGCCUGAUGGAGGGGGAUAACUACUGGAAACGGUAGCUAAUACCGCAUAAUGUCGCAAGACCAAAGAGGGGGACCUUCGGGCCUCUUGCCAUCGGAUGUGCCCAGAUGGGAUUAGCUUGUUGGUGGGGUAACGGCUCACCAAGGCGACGAUCCCUAGCUGGUCUGAGAGGAUGACCAGCCACUCUGGAACUGAGACACGGUCCAGACUCCUACGGGGGGCAGCUGUGGGGUAUAGUGCACAAUGGGCGCACGCCUGAUGCAGCCAUGCCGCGUGUAUGAAGAAGGCCUUCGGGUUGUAAAGUACUUUCAGCGGGGAGGAAGGGAGUAAAGUUAAUACCUUUGCUCAUUGACGUUACCCAGAAGAAGCACCGGCUAACUCCGUG